rnacentral:misc_RNA from 1 species
GCCAUGCUGAGUGAGGACGCAAAGGACAUUGAAGUUGAUUCUGAUGAUUGUAGAACGACUGUUGUCGAGCAGUCAGGCACUCUACAAAACUCUAAUGAGAUUGUACCUGUCUCCGACUCAACGGAUGAGAAGGUGGCAGCUGGAGGCCGAAGCCCAUCGAAGAGAAGCUUAGCUGAGUGCAUUUCAAGUGAAGAGGAGGAAUGGUCUGCA